AGAGUUUGAUCCUGGCUCAGGACGAACGCUGGCGGCGUGCCUAACACAUGCAAGUCGAGCGAGGUCCAUCUCCUGGCAACAGGAGUGAAGACCUAGCGGCGAACGGGUGAGUAACACGUGAGGAACCUGCCCCGAAGACCGGGAUAACUCGAGGAAACUCGUGCUAAUACCGGAUACCCCCAUCGGAUCACAUGGUCUGAUGAGGAAAUGUCUUUUCGCUUCGGGAGGGCCUCGCGGCCUAUCAGCUUGUUGGCGGGGUAACGGCCCACCAAGGCAUCGACGGGUAGCUGGUCUGAGAGGACGAUCAGCCACACUGGGACUGAGACACGGCCCAGACUCCUACGGGAGGCAGCAGUGGGGAAUCUUGCGCAAUGGGCGAAAGCCUGACGCAGCAACGCCGCGUGGGGGACGAAGGCUCUCGGGUUGUAAACCCCUUUCAGGAGGGACGAAAAUGACGGUACCUCCAGAAGAAGCCCCGGCCAACUACGUGCCAGCAGCCGCGGUAACACGUAGGGGGCAAGCGUUGUCCGGAUUUAUUGGGCGUAAAGAGCUCGUAGGCGGCUCGGUAAGUCGGGUGUGAAAUUUCGAGGCUCAACCUCGAGACGCCACUUGAUACUGCUGUAGCUAGAGUCCGGUAGGGGAGCGUGGAAUUCCUGGUGUAGCGGUGAAAUGCGCAGAUAUCAGGAGGAACACCAGCGGCGAAGGCGGCGCUCUGGGCCGGUACUGACACUGAGGAGCGAAAGCGUGGGGAUCAAACAGGAUUAGAUACCCUGGUAGUCCACGCCGUAAACGUUGGGCACUAGGUGUGGGGCUCUAUCAACGGGCUCCGUGCCGUAGCUAACGCAUUAAGUGCCCCGCCUGGGGAGUACGGCCGCAAGGCUAAAACUCAAAGGAAUUGACGG
rnacentral:rRNA from 1 species